UACGUAGGGUGCGAGCGUUGUCCGGAAUUAUUGGGCGUAAAGAGCUCGUAGGCGGCCUGUCGCGUCGGUUGUGAAAGCCCGGGGCUUAACCCCGGGUCUGCAGUCGAUACGGGCAGGCUAGAGUUCGGUAGGGGAGAUCGGAAUUCCUGGUGUAGCGGUGAAAUGCGCAGAUAUCAGGAGGAACACCGGUGGCGAGGGCGGAUCUCUGGGCCGAUACUGACGCUGAGGAGCGAAAGCGUGGGGAGCGAACAGG
rnacentral:rRNA from 1 species